GGGAUUGUAGCUCAGUGGUUGAGCACUUGUCUCACAUACAAAAGGCACUGGGUUCAAUCCUCAGCACCA
rnacentral:tRNA from 1 species